rnacentral:rRNA from 1 species
GACGAACGCUGGCGGCGUGCUUAACACAUGCAAGUCGAGCGGUAAGGCUCUUCGGAGUACACGAGCGGCGAACGGGUGAGUAACACGUGAGCAACCUGCCCAUGACACUGGGAUAACGAUUGGAAACAGUCGCUAAUACCGGAUACGACCUUGGUGGACAUCUACACGAGGUGGAAAGCUCCGGCGGUCAUGGAUGGGCUCGCGGCCUAUCAGCUUGUUGGUGAGGUAACGGCUCACCAAGGCUUCGACGGGUAGCCGGCCUGAGAGGGCGACCGGCCACACUGGGACUGAGAUACGGCCCAGACUCCUACGGGAGGCAGCAGUGGGGAAUAUUGCACAAUGGGCGCAAGCCUGAUGCAGCAACGCCGCGUGCGGGAUGACGGCCUUCGGGUUGUAAACCGCUUUCAGUAGGGACGAAGCUAACGUGACGGUACCUACAGAAGAAGGACCGGCCAACUACGUGCCAGCCGCCGCCGUAACAC